rnacentral:rRNA from 1 species
UGGGGAAUUUUACACAAUGGGGGAAACCCUGAUGUAGCAACGCCGCGUGGAGGAUGACGGAUUUAGGUCUGUAAACUCCUUUUAUAAGGGAAGAAAUUUGACGGUACCUUAUGAAUAAGCACCGGCUAACUCCGUGCCAGCAGCCGCGGUAAUACGGGGGGUGCAAGCGUUACUCGGAAUCACUGGGCGUAAAGGGAGCGUAGGCGUUUUAUUAAGUCUUGAGUGAAAGCUCGCAGCUCAACUGCGGAACUGCUCAGGAAACUGAUAGGAUUGAGUAUGGAAGAGGUAGGUGGAAUUUCCGGUGUAGGGGUAAAAUCCGUAGAUAUCGGAAGGCAUACCAGAAGCGAAGGCGACCUACUGGGACAUUACUGACGCUGAGGCUCGAAAGCGUGGGGAGCAAACA